rnacentral:rRNA from 1 species
CUCCUACGGGAGGCAGCAGUGGGGAAUAUUGCACAAUGGGGGAAACCCUGAUGCAGCAACGCCGCGUGAGUGAUGACGGUCUUCGGAUUGUAAAGCUCUGUCUUCAGGGACGAUAAUGACGGUACCUGAGGAGGAAGCCACGGCUAACUACGUGCCAGCAGCCGCGGUAAUACGUAGGUGGCAAGCGUUGUCCGGAUUUACU